AAAAAAAGUCACAUGCUCGUGAUCUGAGCCAGCCAGGCACCCUCAUCCCAUUCAUUUUAAAGAUGUAAAAUGGUUAAGAUCUUUCAAGUUUGCACCAAUCCAUAGUCAACACUCUGGGCUCUUGGAUUCAUUCAAUCAAUUGAUUUUGUUCAAGUCAUACUUGUCCAAUUUAUCCACAUGAGUAUCACAAAAGUUUGGCCAAAUGCUUUGCUAAAACCGAGGUAUUUUGGCUCUGAUCUUGCCUUCGUCUACUUGGGUAUUGUAAAAUCUGGGAGGGGGUGCGCUGCCAUAGGCAUUUCUUCAGUAAGCCAACUAAAAGACGUUUGUAAAUGUUUUCCCAUGAGAACAGGCUAGGCACCAGGAAGGAGUAUUUUCAAGUAUCCGGGUGGGUGUGUAAAAUAACAAUGGUAUUUUUUGACAGCAAAAUGUCAAGGAUUGAGAGCACACAGAGCGACAUGGCAUACUGAUUUUCAACAGAACCCUCACUCGGCAUUUACUAUUCAUCAUCUGCUAUACACAUGGAGUCAUAGUUCCUACCCUUGGCAUGAUCGUCCCUGAAUGAAGCAGAGGUCCCUCCCGGGCAUCCAUUGUUACAUGGUGGUGUUCUUUGCAUCCAUAGCAAAGGAAUCAAUGCAUCCAUAGCAAAGGCAUGGAAUCAAUGGUUAGGUCUGAGAUCCCACCUUGUCCACUACAGCAGAAUAGGAUCCCAGAGGACGGACCCAGGUUCAUAACACAUUCUCAGCGUUGGCUCGUGUACUGGCUCAAACACCGUUGACCCGCACGAAAAUUGAGAUUUUUGUCUUCUCUUGAGAAACUGAGCGAUCUUCCAACACUGGGUCUUUUUCACUACAUGGCAGCCGUGAGUGGUUACUCAGAACAGCUGCCUCUGUUCAUACCCGUCUCUAGUGUCUCCUGACCAAGAGGCUUCAUGUUAGUUGCUGUAUGUCACUCGGCUCGGACUGCUAUCCUUCUAAUGAAGUGGAGAGUGAGCUA